UUUCCUUGCAAAUGUAAUGGAAGCUGAUAGAAAGAGGAGAGCAUUCCUGCUGAGUAUCUCCACUGAUGGAAAGACUGAAUGCAAGCUCACAAGUUCCCUGACCUCAAAUCAGUCAGCUGGUACUCCCUACACACUGCUGCUGGUCUGUCUUCUGUUAGGGCAUAACAGAGAGGUGUUUCCUGACUAAUGUUGCUAAAUUGAGCUAUAUGAUCCUGUUAAAUUUCAGUGGAAGGAGAUAACAUAGAUUUGACCACUGAUGUCAAAGGAAAUUGAAGAAUAUGGGCAGAAGUGAAGAUGAAGAAUGAAGCAAAAGGAUACUUAAAGCUAAUAUUGCAAGCUCAGCUUGACUAGAAAGAUAAAUCAAGCAGAGCUGUGGGCUUUUUUUCCAAAUCAUAUCGUCCUCUUGUGCCCAUUACUUCAUAAUCUGAUCCAGGAAAUCCAAAUCUAUAAACUGUGCCAGCAUAUCACCAGUUAAAUCAAAGUUGUAUUAAGAAAACUCAGUUAUGACAAGAUACAUGUGAGAAGUUUCUGCCUACUUUAGUAGCAAAAUACUGCAGCCCACACUUCUUGUUUUCUGGAAUAAUAUCCAUCUCAUGGCUGUGGAAUCUGUCAAACAAUUGGAGGUAAAAUGAAAAGGAAACAUGAAUGUUAACUUAGAAAUAAAUUUCAGAGCUGGAUGCUUCCUCCAUGGGGGCAUUUCACAUGAGAGUUAUUGUAUAUAUUUAUGAAAGAUUUAGCUUUCUGUGUUUCCUACAUGAUACAUCACACUGUAUACAGUUGUUCUGACAAAUAGUCUGACGCAUCCAGUGGAUUAUAGUGCAAAUUCCUGGGUGGGAUUAGGUGGCUACAAUGUACACAGCUGUAUCUAAGUUAGUUCUAUAGAAACUGUUCAUAGUCAAAAAGAGAAGCAAUCAAUGCUUGGGUUCAGUUCACCUGCCUCUUAGAAUCAGAAGUGAUGUGAUUUUUUUUCU